UGCUCCUGCCAAGGCCCAUUCUCUCAAGGAAAAUUAUAGCAAAUAGAAUUGGACUGGGAAGUUGCUAGUUAUUAGUAUUCAUCCCACAUUCUAACCUAAUUACAAGGAGAUUGUUUUGGCCAUGGGCAGUCAUUUCAGGUUUUGUUUUCCUGCUUGCCUCCUCCACCUCCACCUGUCUUCCUAGAGGCCCAAGUCAAGGUUAUUGCAAUAGCACUGAACACUGUGUAACACCGGUACAGGCAAAUUAACCUUUGGGGACGGGACCGCGCUCACUGUGAAGCCAACCUCAUGUAGCUAAAGACUAUCACACUAGACAGCGUGGUCUAGACCCUCUCCAGGCUGACAGCCGCUGGCUCUAGGAUCUGAGUGAGAGUUUAACCAGGACUCAAAGUCAGGUAUCCGGCCCCCAUAACAACCCGUUUCUCCCUCUGAAGUCAACCUGUGUCUGGUAACAGCUUUCUUGAGGCCACAUUCUCUCAGCACCUCCACACCCUUCCACAUCACCCUCUCUGGUCCCACCCAUGACUCCCACUAAUGACUGACACAUCCACUGGGGUGUGGUAUUAGCUAAUGGCUUCCGGUCUCUCCCCUCCCAGUAAAAGAUUUCUGCCAUAAAUCUUUAACCCACAGUGAUGUCGUCCUCUCGGGCACAUGGAGAUUGGAGGGGAGCAGGCAGAAUCCUUUGAAGCCAAAGCUUUGGGAGUUGCUCACAUGUGACCAUAGACAACCCCACCCAUAGGCAGCUCUGCCUUGAUUCAGCAUCCCAAGGCCAUGCCAAGGGCUGAUUCCCCUGGUUUUCAUCCAGAUGGAUAUCUGCAUUUCCAAGGCCACCCUGACUGGCUCAGCACACGGGGGGCGUCAUGUAUCACUGGUCUGCAAGAUUUUGCCUGUGUGGUGAGAAGCUAGGGGAGCAGAGAACCACGGCCCCGGAAGCUGCCAUCCCAGCCCUGCUGUAAACUUGCUGGGUGGCCCCAACGUGUUAAUCCUCCUAAUAAACCUCUGCUUCCUCCUCCAAAGGCAGGAGGUCUGAAAGAAUAAACCCUGAGGGUUGCUUUAAAAACACAGAAUCCCAUGAAAAUACUGAGGAGUCAUUCUCAGCACUAAAGAAAAGCCUCCAGCUGCUCCUUGCUUUCCCUGGACGGAAGAGUAGAAACUGUAUUACUGGGUAGCGCAGUUAUCAUGGCAAUCUCCUGGUAGUAUCAAGAGCUGCAAUUACUAAAUUAUUUCAGUUUAUUAAGUAUAACUUUACAUGGAGAAACUCUCAUGGCUUCUCAGAAGAGCCUGGUCAGGAAAAAGAAU